AUAAAGAUUUCACAAAAAGUAUUACUAUUAAUUCAGAAAUUAAUGCGAUGUUUUUAUUAUUCCGAAAAAUGCGACAGGGUUGUAAUCGCAAUAAUUUAAACUUGCAUUAAUGAUUUUGAAAUUUUGUAUAUGAAGUGAACAGGAUUUGUCUCAAUAUCGCAAAAUUUAAAAUCGCACUUUAGUUAAAAUGACAAUAUCUCAAUAAUAAAUGCACGCAAUAAUUCUGAAUUUACAGUAUUUUAAUUACAAUACACCUUAUCAUUAUUUGUCCGCCAUUACUGGACUUCACACAGGUUCCCCGUAAAAUUUUGACAUCAUAAUACAAAAUAUAUGACGCCACAAUGGAAAAGGGAUUGUUGUAUGACGUCAAUAGUUCAAGCAGGACAGAUUCUCGGGUCAGCCGGGAAUAGGGAUAAGGUGUAUAUAAAAAAGAUGUGGUAUGAUUGCCAAUGAGACAACUCUCCACAAGAGACCAAAUGACACAGAAAUUAACAACUAUAGGUCACCGUACAGCCUUCAACAAUGAGCAAUGCCCAUACCACAUAGUCAGCUAUAAAAGGCCCCGAAAUGACAAAUGUAAAACAAUUCAAAUGAGAAAACAAACGACCUUAGGCCUUGAAAAAGGCGCUUAACUCAUCAGAUGGAUACAAAUAAAAUACAUCUAACAAAAACACAGAGUGGACGUGGCGGGUCUAAGUACUGAUCUGAAAGUACUUGAAGUAUAAACUGACAGCUAGUUCAAAGCCACUAACAACUAAUAAAAAUAAUCAUGCAUCUAACAUGUCUACGACUAAAUACAAGUAUGUCAUUAUGCACUUCCUAUUUUUCUUAUUUUUGUGACUUGUGUGUGGACCAUACAACUUAUAGCUAUUUAUCCACCAUGACUGGACAUUACAAAGGUUCCUGUAAAAUUUGUUUGUCACUUUUUAACUAUGAGGCAAACCUAUACCAUGUAUGGACGGCUUUAAUCGGUCCUGACAAGAAAAAUAUGAAACAAUUCAAUUGAGAAAAUUAAAAGUCCAAUUUAUUACAAAACAAUUAACGAAAACAAGAGAUAUUGCAUGACAGUACAUGAAACAACAACAACCACUGAACUACAGGCUCCUGACUUUGGACAGGCACAUAUAGAAUGUGGAGUUAAACUAAAUUUGAUUGCACCAACCGGGACAGUGGUGUUGUGGCACAAUAUUCGAACAAACUAUGCAAAACAUUAAAAGAAAAACAAAUAUGACAAACAGCAAAACACAACAACCACUCAAUUACAUGCUCCUGACUUGGUACAGGCACAUAGAAUAUGGUAGGCUAUUAAAUCCCUACCUACCUACCCUAACUUUUUUUUUAGAUGUAACUGGAACCACACAUACUAUUUUAUAGAGAACAUACGUAUGAUUGAAGAGAUUGUUGUAGCUUAAGCUAAAUGUGCAUGUGUUUAAAAAUAAUAUUUAGUAUGGUUUUAAUUGAUUGAUAACAAAAUCAAUUUUUAUACCAAUAAAAAACAAUAUUCACUUCUUUUAAAAGAUCUGGGCCAUUUGAAGUUAGAUGAAAGAUGAUCUGCAUCAAUGCGUUUAUGGAAAAUACCAAUUGUUUUGAGAAUUGGCUCGUCAGACGUCAGUGAACGAGACUUAUGACUUUAUGUUCAUGAUUUUCAACAGAACUAUUAAAAAAAAAAUGGUGCAGAUCAACAGUAUCUGGGAAUUUACUCAUAAAGAAAAGAGAGCUGGAGACUCAGAGAGGCAGGAAAAGAACAGACCAGGGAAUCACAGAUCCAUAUCAGAUAAUAAAAUUGAAUCGAAAAUUAAAAGUUUGAAUUUUAUGUUAUUGAAACUAUUAAUUUACAAACUUCCUGAAAAUUUGGAUUUUUUUAUUAUUGUUUAGAGGCUAUGGGUAUUUGACCAUCAUCAAUGUGUAAGCACAUUGAUUUUCAUUCAACUUUAAGAACUUCUUUUUAGAUUUUUAGGGGAAUUUCUGUUGUAUAAGUUUCAAAGUUUUGUAUGGAUAUCCACAUUUUGAAUCAUUCUGAAUGUUUUCUGAAUAUAUCUGAAUCCUUCUGAAUCUUUCUGAAUCCAUCUGAAUGUUGUCUGGAUAUUUCUGAAUGUUGUCUGGAUAUUUCUGAAUGUUGUCUGAUUAUUUCUUAAUCUUUCUGAUUAAGUUCAGAAGUUUUCUGAAAUCAUUCUGAAUAAUGUCUUAA